GACGAACGCUGGCGGCGUGCUUAACACAUGCAAGUCGAACGGAAAGGCCCUGCUUUUGUGGGGUGCUCGAGUGGCGAACGGGUGAGUAACACGUGAGUAACCUGCCCUUGACUUUGGGAUAACUUCAGGAAACUGGGGCUAAUACCGGAUAGGAGCUCCUGCUGCAUGGUGGGGGUUGGAAAGUUUCGGCGGUUGGGGAUGGACUCGCGGCUUAUCAGCUUGUUGGUGGGGUAGUGGCUUACCAAGGCUUUGACGGGUAGCCGGCCUGAGAGGGUGACCGGCCACAUUGGGACUGAGAUACGGACCAGACUCCUACGGGAGGCAGCAGUGGGGAAUAUUGCACAGUGGGCGGAAGCCUGAUGCAGCAACGCCGCGUGCGGGAUGACGGCCUUCGGGUUGUAAACAGCUUUCGCCUGUGACGAAGCGUGAGUGACGGUAAUGGGUAAAGAAGCACCGGCUAACUACGUG
rnacentral:rRNA from 1 species